rnacentral:rRNA from 1 species
UACGAAGGGGGCUAGCGUUGCUCGGAAUCACUGGGCGUAAAGCGCACGUAGGCGGCUUUUUAAGUCAGGGGUGAAAUCCUGGAGCUCAACUCCAGAACUGCCUUUGAUACUGAGGAUCUCGAGUCCGGGAGAGGUGAGUGGAACUGCGAGUGUAGAGGUGAAAUUCGUAGAUAUUCGCAAGAACACCAGUGGCGAAGGCGGCUCACUGGCCCGGUACUGACGCUGAGGUGCGAAAGCGUGGGGAGCAAACAGG